ACAAGGGUAGGAUAGUAGAAGGUGGUGAAUUUGGAGUAGAGGCAGGAUAGGAAGAGGGAACAUUAAGGUAUGAGGAAGGGCUGAUUGAUGGAAUGUCAGCAGAAAAAGGACAGUCAGGGUAUGAAGGAUGAAUAGAAGGUGAAACAGAUGCAUCAACAGGAGCAGAUGCCUCAACAGUAGAGGGAUAAUCAUGGGAGGAACAAGGAAUAGAAGAUGGAACAGAAGAAGUACUC
rnacentral:lncRNA from 1 species